rnacentral:rRNA from 1 species
CCUACGGGUGGCAGCAGUGAGGAAUAUUGGUCAAUGGACGAGAGUCUGAACCAGCCCAGUCGCGUGAACGAUGACUGCCCUAUGGGUUGUAAACUUCUUUUAUAUGGGAAUAAAAUGUUCCACGUGUGUGAUUUUGUAUGUCCCAUAUGAAUAAGGAACGGCUGACUCCGUGCCAGCAGCAGCGGUAAUACGGAGGUUCCGAGAGUUAUCCGGAUUUAUAGGGUGUAAAGGGCGCGUAGAUGGAUUGGUAAGUCAGUUGUGAAAGAUUGCGGCUCAACCGUAAAAGUGCAGUUGAAACUGGCAGUCGUGAGUACAGUAGAGGUGGGCGGAAGUCGUGGUGUAGCGGUGAAAUGCUUAGAUAGUAGGAAGAACUCCGAUUGCGAAGGCAGCUCACUGGACGGCAACUGACACUGAGGCUCGAAAGUGUGGGUAUCAAACAGGAUUAGAUACCCCUGUAGUC